AACGCACAUUGCGCCCUUUGGUAUUCCGAAGGGCACACCUGUUCGAGCGUCAUUACACCAAUCAAGUCUUACUUGGUAUUGGGCUCUUUUGUCCCUAAGAAAUUGGGGACAGGCCUUAAAGACAUUGGCGGCAUAGUCCGGCUUCGAGCGUAGCAAAAACAUCGCUUUUGGAGUUAACUGGAUUAUUGUUCUUUGUCCAUAAAAAACUAGAGUAGAAAUACUCUGACUUUUUUCAAAGGUUGACCUCGGAUCAGGUGGGGAUACCCGCUGAACUUAA
rnacentral:misc_RNA from 1 species